rnacentral:rRNA from 1 species
GGAUUGCAGUCUGCAACUCGACUGCAUGAAGCUGGAAUCGCUAGUAAUCGCGAAUCAGAAUGUCGCGGUGAAUACGUUCCCGGGCCUUGUACACACCGCCCGUCACACCAUGGGAGUUGGAAGCACCCGAAGUCGGUGACCUGACCGAAAGGGAGGAGCCGCCGAAGGUGAAGCCAGCGACUGGGGUGAAGUCGUAACAAGGUAAC